CUUGGUGUUACUGCGAAGGGGUGACGGAGAAGGCUAUGUUAGCCGGGCGACGGUUGUCCCGGUUUAAGCAUGUAGGCUGGUUAUCCAGGCAAAUCCGGAUAAUCAAGGCUGAGGUGUGAUGACGAGGUACUACGGUGCUGAAGUAACAAAUGCCCUGCUUCCAGGAAAAGCCUCUAAGCAUCAGGUAACAUCAAAUCGUACCCCAAACCGACACAGGUGGUCAGGUAGAGAAUACCAAGGCGCUUGAGAGAACUC
rnacentral:rRNA from 1 species